rnacentral:rRNA from 1 species
GAUCAUGGCUCAGAGCGAACGCUGGCGGCAGGCUUAAGACAUGCAAGUCGAGCGGGACCUUCGGGGUCAGNNGCGGANGGGUGAGUAACGCGUGGGAACGUGCCUUNUGGUUCGGAAUAACCCUGGAAACUAGGGCUAAUACCGGAUACGCNCUUANGGGGAAAGGUUUNCUGCCGNAAGAUCGGCCCGCGUCUGAUUAGCUAGUUGGUGGGGUAAUGGCCUNNCAAGGCGACGAUCAGUAGCUGGUCUGAGAGGAUGAUCAGCCACACNGGGACUGAGACACGGCCCAGACUNCUACGGGACGCAGCAGAAGGGC